rnacentral:rRNA from 1 species
CCAAGCAAAACGCACUUAAAGUUUGACAUCCCGAAACUAGGCGAGCUACUCUAAAGCAGUUUACAGAACCAACCCGUCCCUGUAGCAAAAGGGUGGGGAGACUUUAAAGUAGAGGUGACACACCUACCAAGCCUAGAGAUAGCUGGUUAUUCAAGAAGAGAAUUUUAGUUCACCUUUAAGCCUCCCCAAGUACUAUUAAACACCACAUAAGCUUAAAAGUUAUUCAAAUAGGGGACAGCCUAUUUGAAAAAGGACACAGCCUAAAAUCUAGGGUAAUACCCCCCCCCAUGUGAUCAAGUCAGCCCAAAAGCAGCUAACUUUCAGAAAGCGUCCAAGCUCCAUCACAACUCAUCAUCAAUCCCCACAUUAAACCCCAACCCUCAACCAUUACUGAAUAAUCUUAUAUUGUAUAAGAAAUAUUAUGCUAGAACUAGUAACAAGAAGAAGACCUUCUCCAAAAUGUAAGCGUAAGCCAAAAUAAACACUACUGGCACUUACCGCCAUAAACCUGCAGUACCAACAUAUCAAGAAAACAGUACCCCCAUGGACGUUAACCUUACACUAGAACAUUCCAGGAAAGAUUAAAAAAGAGGGAAGGAACUCGGC